AAGUCUGAGAGGCCAGGAUACCCUGUUCCAGGAAUUCUGAAGCAGAGGAGGGCCUAGGAAAUGGCAGAGGAAGGUGACAGAAGAGGAUGUGGUCCUGGGGUGAUAAUGUCUGGGAAAACCCAGGCUAUUGUUCUUUACAGGCUCAGGAUGGGGAGCCUUGCAGCAUAGGGUCAGACAAAGCUCCCCUCUCUCAGCCACCCAGGAUAAAUUUUGCAAGAGGUCAACAUAUAACCUGCCUCUUUCCUUACACAGGGACACUCUCAGGGAAGGACUGUCUGUCUGCUGACUCUUCCCACCCACGGGAGAAGGGACAGAGGUGGUGUGACCGAGCCUCUAAGUGGCAGAGCAAGGCUGGAAGACUGCACCCAACAGAGAUGCCUGGGAGGAAAGGACUUUUGCUAUGAAGAAGUGAUGCGCGAGAUGCUGUGGCGAGAUCACCGCAGGUGGAAUCCCUAAAAGACCUCAGUUCAUCUAGUUGUGGAGGAGAGAGACGGAGCCCUAGACAAGACACAGUCAGCAAAGAGGAGUCUUUCAAUAUAUUACAGCUCUCAUAAAGGCCUUUCAAGUGGCCAGCUAGAGAAACUGACAACGGUAGAAGGCUUACAAGCAAUGAUGCAGAUAAUCUUCAGUGCCAACAAUAUAAAAGCUUUCAGGAAGAACGAAGCUUCCACUCAGGGAGAAGAAAAACAGAGGGCUCAGUCCUCAGAGCCUUCAAGAGGACUCAGGCAACCAGGACCUUGCAGGUCAAGCCCCCAAGGACUGAACGAACAGUAAUGUACCUUUUGAUCUUCUGUGAACUCUGAGUUGUUGUGUUGAGACUGGGCCUCUUUCUGUAGAUGUCUUGCUAAUCUGGAUGGGGAAAGAGGGGGGAGUAGUAUUAAAUAUUUUCUGUAGAUUGGGAACAACAUACUGAAUCCCAUGGUGCUGUCUUCAGAAAACAUGUUAGCCAGAAGUUUUGUAGACUGUUGUGCUUGCAUAUUCCUAAUAUUCAAAACCCUUAACUGUGGACGUUGUAUUGACAAACACAUGAUCACACCAGACAGUUAAACGAGACAUACAGGAGAUCUACAAAAGGUAAGAGUGAGAUUGCAUCUUUUUAUGAUUUAUAAGGACCACCUAAAACUUUCUAAUAUGAAAAACAAACACAACUUUUAUUUAGAAAUACAGGUCUUGUUUACCCUGGAUAAUUCUGUAAUGACUAGAAAACUCCUGAAACUAAAGCAUCACAAGAGUCAAAGUAACAAUUUUUACUCUAACUUUAUUAACACCUAUUUAACUCUAAUGACAGACAUUCUGGAGAAGAGAUGUCUGUUGAAGAUUCAAUAUGCCAACUCCCACAGUUAAGAUGACUGAUUAUCAAGACACAAGAGGUCUUCCAGAAAAAGCAGAUUUUACAUCCCUGAGAGGUCUAAAGUAAAAACAAGCAAACACUUUUCAGAAGCACCUUUCAGGCCUCCUAUAUAUAAUAAAGGAGCAAAAUGAGGAUUUGUGCAUGUCAUAGUAGCAGGGACUGGCAAAAUCACUUGCUUAACAAAAGUGGUCUUCUCAUGAAGCUGGAGCAGAACUGGACUUGUUACAUUUGGGGAUACUUUAGACAACCUCCUGCCUUGAGAGCCCUCCAAUGAAGGUGGUCACUUGGAUAGGUUUCAUUGUACUUUAAAUAUCAAGUAUUAAAACAAGUUUAAUAUUAAUAUCUAUCAUUCAAUCAAAAGACUGUCACACUUUAGUGCAGAUACAACUGUGUAGCCCCUCAGAAUGCACUAUCAGAAAUUAGGAGACCAGAGUUCUUCUCUUGAAUUGACGACUGACUCACUGUGACACAUUGGCUCAGUUUUCUCAUCUGUGAAAUGGGGACAAUGAUACCUACCCUCCUUUAUAAAACACUGAAAUCUAUGGAUGAAAACUCUAUAAGAGCGAAGUAUUAUUUUUAUAUGGAUGAACUGUUGCUUUCCAAAAUCUUUUCAGAGGUUAAACUUUUAAUCCUGUUCUAACACAGCAACUGACAUCCCUCCAUUCUAAUGAGGAUGUUAAUGUAGUGCUCAUGUAAGGUGUCUGACUGAUAACAUGAACUGUGGAAACACAGAUUUUCCCAAGCCCAGGUCACCCAGAAGGGGUGAUUUUCCAACAGUCAGAAGGUAAUUUAAUUUACACUGCUCAUUGACAAAAUAAAAACAAAGGAGGAAAUAAGGAAUCCACAAAUAUGUGAAGGAUGUAAAUGUUACAGAGGCAGAGUUUUUAUUUAAGGGUACUACUUGAGGUAUAACUAAAUGUAGUGGGAUGAAAUUUUAAAGAGGAACACUACACGUUUUCCCUUGUUGCAUAGUAGGAGGAAAAAAGUCCUAACAAUUAGAUCAUGGAAAUUUGACAAAGCAUUUUGUAGCGGGGUGGUUACCUGCUCCUGCCCCAUGGGGGCUUGAAACAG